UACACUGAAACCAGGCACCAACUCACAAAAGGGUAAUUAUCCUCCCUGUACUGCUGUGCUCCUUUCUCUCUGGUGAGUCACACAAGGUGGCAUGAGAGCAAUCAUCUUACUCUCUGGCUGGAUUUCAUGGCAGCCCUCCUAGACAGAAGGGGGGUAUUGAUUGAUUGUUGCAAAGAAACUAUUAAUGCAAAGCUUGUCCCUGAGAAGGUUUUAUUUGCUGCUGAGCAUCAUCCACUGUCACUGCUCUAGUUGAUGGUGACUGUCCCAGGGCAUGGUGAAGUGGUGGGGGGUGGGCACACAGGCCACUGCUGUGUCCUGAGCCAGUGAAAGUGGAGCCAGCUGCAAUUCAGAAUCUGCAUUAACUUGGGUCCCAGCCCCAUGCAGUACCUGGUUUGCUGGCCAGCUGGUUUUCAGUACCACAGCCAGCUUCCUUAGGUGGUCAGAGGGUUUGUGCCUUAGUGCCCCACAACAGCUGCUCCUGGAGAACUUCAGUGUCUUCAUGUGACACCUCAUUCCUGUUGUUCAGGCACUGGUGAAGGCAGAUGUCUACAGUCCCACCUGCCUGUGCAGAGCACUGCUGCUGUGGUGCUGGCUGAAGCUGCUGUCCCUCACAUGCUGUGACUGCCACUUCCAACAUGACAGUGUGGGGGAUCAGAGGCUGAGCUGCAACAAUGUCACUUCCACCGAAAGCGAGGAGCCACCUCCUGGGACCAGCCUGAGGGACAAAUCCAGCCUUGAAAAACAGCCAGCAGGAUGACAUGCAGAUCAAAGGGGUAUUGCAGAGCUCAGCUGCAAGAGAUCCCUUAGAGACUUUUAAAAGCAUUUUAGCUCACCCUUAACUUCCUUGAAAUGGAGCACAGGUUCUCUCUGGAAGGAGAAGAAGCGCAGAGUUUGGUACAUGCCCUGAAAAGCACAGGCACCUGAGGAGUAUUGCCAUCUUCUGUACCUGUUUGCUCACUGACUGUGUAAUUUGCAAGAGGUUUAUUAUUCCUGUUGUACCGUUGGGAAAAUUACUCCACAAAUCUCUGAG
rnacentral:lncRNA from 1 species